AUGCAAGUCGAGGGGCAGCACGGAAAGUUAGCAAUAACUUUUGGUGGCGACCGGCGCACGGGCUGCGUAACGCGUAUGCAACCUACCACUCAACAGGGGGAUAACUUCGGAGAAAUCUGGUCUAAUACCCCAUAACAUAUUAACCGGCAUCGGUUUAUGUUGAAAGCUCCGGCGGUUGAUGAUGGGCAUGCGUUGUAUUAUGAUAGUUGGUGAGGUAACGGCUCACCAAGUCUACGAUACAUAGGGGGACUGAGAGGUUAACCCCCCACACUGGUACUGAGACACGGACCAGACUCCUACGGGAGGCAGCAGUGAGGAAUAUUGGUCAAUGGACGCAAGUCUGAACCAGCCAUGCCGCGUGCAGGAAGACGGCUCUAUGAGUUGUAAACUGCUUUUAUACGAUGAAUAAACCCCGGUACGUGUACUGGGUUGAAGGUAUCGUAGGAAUAAGGAUCGGCUAACUCCGUGCCAGCAGCCGCGGUAAUACGGAGGAUCCAAGCGUUAUCCGGAUUUAUUGGGUUUAAAGGGUGCGUAGGCGGUUUUAUAAGUUAGAGGUGAAAUCCCGUGGCUCAACCACGGAACUGCCUCUGAUACUGUAGGACUAGAGAAUGGUUGCUGUGGGCGGAAUGUGUGGUGGUAGCGG
rnacentral:rRNA from 1 species